rnacentral:rRNA from 1 species
CCUACGGGCUGCAGCAGUGGGGAAUAUUGGACAAUGGGCGAAAGCCUGAUCCAGCAAUGCUGCGUGUGCGAAGAAGGUCUUCGGAUUGUAAAGCACUUUCGACGGGGACGAUGAUGACGGUACCCGUAGAAGAAGCCCCGGCUAACUUCGUGCCAGCAGCCGCGGUAAUACGAAGGGGGCUAGCGUUGCUCGGAAUGACUGGGCGUAAAGGGCGCGUAGGCGGUUUAUGCAGUCAGAUGUGAAAUCCCCGGGCUUAACCUGGGAUCUGCAUUUGAGACGCAUAGACUAGAGGUCGAGAGAGGGUUGUGGAGUUCCCAGUGUAGAGGUGAAAUUCGUAGAUAUUGGGAAGAACGCCGGUGGCGAAGGCGGCAACCUGGCUCGAUACUGACGCUGAGGCGCGAAAGCGUGGGGAGCAAACAGGAUUAGAUACCCCCGUAG